rnacentral:snoRNA from 2 species
UUUCCUUCUGCGAUUGGGCAAGAGUUGUUGUGUAUUUCCCAAGCCUACAAACUCUAAUCCGCAAAAGGUAGAUCAAAUCGUUCGCUCUCCUCUGCCGUUGACUCUGCACUAUUGUUCCAUGUGUCUAAGUGGGCAUUGCAGAUCUGAUGUGAGUGAAUACAAUU